rnacentral:rRNA from 1 species
CGUAAAGGUUUCAACACCCUUGUUAUGCUCACAUCUUGGGAGCUUUGAAAGCAUCGAAACAGCUGCGCCUUCGAUGGGCUUCGCCCUUCCAUCACCAGCCUGUUCGAGACCAUCCGUUAGGAGGCUCUUCUUUGGGCUUGUGCUGGAGCCAACGGAUUGCACAACAUCAUAGGCAUAGGCUGA